ACGGGAGGCAGCAGUGAGGAAUAUUGGUCAAUGGACGGAAGUCUGAACCAGCCAAGUAGCGUGCAGGAUGACGGCCCUCCGGGUUGUAAACUGCUUUUAGUUGGGAAUAAAAGAGGGAACGUGUUCCCUAUUGUAUGUACCAUCAGAAAAAGGACCGGCUAAUUCCGUGCCAGCAGCCGCGGUAAUACGGAAGGUCCGGGCGUUAUCCGGAUUUAUUGGGUUUAAAGGGAGCGUAGGCGGGCCUUUAAGUCAGUGGUAAAAGCGUGUGGCUCAACCAUACCACGCCAUUGAUACUGGAGGCCUUGAAUGCACACAGGGAUGCUGGAAUUCGUCGUGUAGCGGUGAAAUGCUUAGAUAUGACGAAGAACUCCGAUCGCGAAGGCAGGUUUCCGGUGUGUAACUGACGCUAAGGCUCGAAAGUGCGGGUAUCAAACAGGAUUAGAUACCCUGGUA
rnacentral:rRNA from 1 species